rnacentral:rRNA from 1 species
UACGGGGGGGGCAAGCGUUGUUCGGAAUUACUGGGCGUAAAGGGCUCGUAGGCGGCCAACUAAGUCGGAUGUGAAAUCCCCAGGCUUAACCUGGGAACUGCAUCCGAUACUGGAUGGCUUGAAUCCGGGAGAGGGAUGCAGAAUUCCAGGUGUAGCGGUGAAAUGCGUAGAUAUCUGGAGGAACACCGGUGGCGAAGGCGGGUCUCUGGGCCAUUACUGACGCUGAGGAGCGAAAGCGUGGGGAGCAAACAGG